rnacentral:rRNA from 1 species
GAAUAUUGGACAAUGGGGGCAACCCUGAUCCAGCAAUACCGCGUGUGUGAAGAAGGCCUGAGGGUUGUAAAGCACUUUCAAUUGUGAAGAAAAGUUAGCGGUUAAUAACCGUUAGCCUUGACGUUAACUUUAGAAGAAGCACCGGCUAACUCCGUGCCAGCAGCCGCGGUAAUACGGAGGGUGCAAGCGUUAAUCGGAAUUACUGGGCGUAGAGCGUGCGUAGGCGGUUUAUUAAGUCAGAUGUGAAAGCCCCGGGCUUAACCUGGGAACUGCAUUUGAAACUGGUCAACUAGAGUAUGGUAGAGGAAAGUGGAAUUUCUGGUGUAGCGGUGAAAUGCGUAGAUAUCAGAAGGAACAUCAAUGGCGAAGGCAGCUUUCUGGACCAAUACUGACGCUGAGGUACGAAAGCGUGGGUAGCAAACAGGAUUAGAUACCCUGGUAGUCCACGCCGUAAACGAUGAUAACUAGCCGUUGGUGGGAUUUACCCUUUAGUGGCGAAGCUAACGCGUUAAGUUUUCCGCCUGGGGAGUACGACCGCAAGGUUAAAACUCAAAGGAAUUGACGGGGACCCGCACAAACGGG